GCCGUGGAAAGAUGCAAGCAAGAAGCCGUUUUUGCAGCGGACGGCUUCGGCGUGCAGCGGAUGAUAUAUGGCUUGGUAUUCAUUAGCCUCGAAAACGGUAUCCCCAUUCACCCUUCCCUCAAAAACCAGGUUUUCUGGCGACCUGCUUUGGUAGCCAGCCAGGUGAAUCUUCAAUGCGACGGUACUAGUUUGGAGGAUCCUGGUUUUCCUGAUACCUACAUGGUCAUGUACAACAUCCGACCAGAAUCUGUCACUUUCGGCCUGAGCUGCAACAAAUCUUGCCCCGAGAAGAACAUCACCAAGUUCAAGGAUGCUCUUGAGCAAGCCC